rnacentral:rRNA from 1 species
ACGAACGCUGGCGGCAUGCCUAACACAUGCCAGUCGCACGCGACCUUCGGGUCUAGUGGCGCACGGGUGCGUAACGCGUGGGAAUCUACCCUCAGGUUCGGAAUAACUCAGAGAAAUUUGAGCUAAUACCGGAUGAUGACGUAAGUCCAAAGAUUUAUCGCCUGAGGAUGAGCCCGCUUAGGAUUAGGUAGUUGGUGAGGUAAAGGCUCACCAAGCCGACGAUCCUUAGCUGGUCUGAGAGGAUGAUCAGCCACACUGGGACUGAGACACGGCCCAGACUCCUACGGGAGGCAGCAGUGGGGAAUAUUGGACAAUGGGCGAAAGCCUGAUCCAGCAAUGCCGCGUGAGUGAUGAAGGCCUUAGGGUUGUAAAGCUCUUUUACCCGGGAUGAUAAUGACAGUACCGGGAGAAUAAGCUCCGGCUAACUCCGUG